CAGGAUCUUCGAGAGGAGCCUGGGGCGAGGCGGACAGCUGACGCCGGGGCUGGAGGUGCUGAGCCCCAGGCAGGUCUGCAGUGCACGGCACUGCCGGGGGGACGGGGCAUGGACACACAUACCCAGUGGCCCCCAACUACCCACAAGAGCAGGGAGUGUGGCAGCUGCAGGGGUCCUCCCCACCCUGCCCCUCUGGGCACCUCCGGGUGUGCACGCAUGUUUGAGCGUGUGUGGACGUGAGUGUAUCUGUGCAUGUGUGCGAGCAUGUGCGUGUGUGUGCACGUGUGCAUGUGUGGAGUCUAUGAAUGUGUGUGUGUGAGCAUGUGUACACACGUGUGAAUGGAUGCAUAUGGGCAUACGUGAAUGUGGACUGUAUGGAUGUGUGGCAUGCGGGUGUGGGCGUGUGUGUGUGACGGUGUGGACUGUACAGAUAUGUGACGGUGUGGACUGUAUAGAUGUGUGUGUGUGUGUGACGGUGUAGACCAUAUAGAUGUGUGUGUGCAUGUGAUGGUGUGGACUGUAGAGAUGUGUGUGUGUAUGAUGGUGUGGACUAUAUGGAUGUGUGACGGUGUGGACUGUAUAGAUGUGUGUGUAUGACAGUGUGGACUGUAUAGAUGUGAGACGGUGUGGACUGUAUAGAUGUGUGUGUGUAUGACGGUGUGGACUGUAUGGAUGUGUGACGGUGUGGACUGUAUAGAUGUAUGUGUGACGGUGUGGACUGUAUAGAUGUGUGCAUGUAACAGGUGUGGACUGUAUAGAUGUGUGUGUGUGUGACGGUGUAGACCAUAUAGAUGUGUGUGCAUGUGAUGGUGUGGACUGUAUAGAUGUGUGUGUGUAUGACAGUGUGGACUGUAUGGAUGUGUGACGGUGUGGACUGUAUAGAUGUGUGUGUGUUUGUAUGACGGUGUGGACUGUACGGAUGUGUGACGGUGUGGACUGUAUAGAUGUGUGUGUGUUUGUAUGACGGUGUGGACUGUACGGAUGUGUGACAGUGUGGACUGUAUAGAUGUGUGUGUGUAUGACGGUGUGGACUGUAUGGAUGUGUGAAGGUGUGGACUGUACAGAUGUGUGUGUGUGUGUAUGACGGUGUGGACUGUAUGUGUGUGUUAUGGUGUGGACUGUAUGGAUGUGUGCAGGUGUGUGUGUGAGACGGUGUGGACUGUAUGGAUGUGUGCGGGUGUGUGUGUGAGACGGUGUGGACUGUAUGGAUGUGUGCGGGUGUGUGUGUGAUGGUGUGGACUGUAUGGAUGUGUGCGGGUGUGUGUGAUGGUAUGGACUGUAUGGAUGUGUGUGGGUGUGUGUGUGUGAUGGUGUGGACUGUAUGGAUGUGUGGGCAUGCGGGUGUGGGUGUGCACGCACACCUGCUUUCACAUUGCACUGUGUGCCCGCCAGAUCAGGAAACAGGCUGGAGUGAAGGUGCUGGCUGCUCAAAGCCCCUGCAGAGGCU
rnacentral:lncRNA from 1 species